AGGUAAUAUAAAAUUUUAUAAAAACCUAUUUACAAUGGCGGCAUUUCAUCUUAUUAGAGGAACCUGUUUAAUAAUCGAUAAUCCACGGUAACUUUCACUUUAAUUAAAAAUUUAUAUACCGCCAUCUUAAGAGCUAAUCUAACAAUAUUACUCUAAAUAAAAUAUAAAAAGUUAGGUCAAGGUGUAAUCAAUAUUAAAGUUUAAAUGGGUUACAUUAAAAUAAAUUUAAGGAAUAUUUUAUAUAAAUACUUUAAGAAAAAGGAUUUAAAAGUAAUAUUAUUUAACAAUAAUAAUCUAUUAUGAAUUAGAUAAUAAAUGUGC
rnacentral:rRNA from 1 species